rnacentral:rRNA from 1 species
GACGAACGCUGGCGGCGUGCUUAACACAUGCAAGUCGAACGAUGAAGCUGGAGCUUGCUCCGGUGGAUUAGUGGCGAACGGGUGAGUAACACGUGAGCAAUCUGCCCUUGACUCUGUGAUAACUGCGGGAAACUGUAGCUAAUACCGGAUACGACGCCUUGGGGCAUCCCAGGGCGUGGAAAGAAUUUCGGUCAAGGAUGAGCUCGCGGCCUAUCAGCUAGUUGGUGAGGUAACGGCUCACCAAGGCGACGACGGGUAGCCGGCCUGAGAGGGUAACCGGCCACACUGGAACUGAGACACGGUCCAGACUCCUACGGGAGGCAGCAGUGGGGAAUAUUGCACAAUGGGCGCAAGCCUGAUGCAGCAACGCCGCGUGAGGGAUGAAGGCCUUCGGGUUGUAAACCUCUUUUAGCAGGGAAGAAGCGAAAGUGACGGUACCUGCAGAAAAAGCACCGGCUAACUACGUGCCAGCAGCCGCCGUAA